rnacentral:rRNA from 1 species
AUGCUUAACACAUGCAAGUCGAACGAGAAAGUGGAGCAAUCCGUGAGUAAAGUGGCGACCGGGUGAGUAACACGUGACUAACCUACCUCCGAGUGGGGAAUAACUUCGGGAAACCGGGGCUAAUACCGCAUAACAUCACAAGAUCAAAGCAGCAAUGCGCUUGGAGAGGGGGUCGCGGCUGAUUAGCUAGUUGGCGGGGUAACGGCCCACCAAGGCGAAGAUCGGUAUCCGGCCUGAGAGGGCGCACGGACACACUGGAACUGAAACACGGUCCAGACUCCUACGGGAGGCAGCAGUGGGGAAUUUUGCGCAAUGGGGGAAACCCUGACGCAGCAACGCCGCGUGGAGGAUGAAGCCCUUUGGGGCGUAAACUCCUUUCGACCAAGACGAUAAUGACGGUACUGGUGGAAGAAGCACCGGCUAACUCUGUGCCAGCAGCCGCGGUAAUACAGAGGGUGCGAGCGUUGUUCGGAAUUAUUGGGCGUAAAGGGCGCGUAGGCGGUGCGGUAAGUCACCUGUGAAACCUCUGGGCUUAACUCAGAGCCUGCAGGCGAAACUGCCGUGCUGGAGUGUGGGAGAGGUGCGUGGAAUUCCCGGUGUAGCGGUGAAAUGCGUAGAUAUCGGAAGGAACACCAGUGG